AGAGAAUAUUUCAAUAAGAGAACUCUGUCACGAUGAGAUGUCGGAUUUUCCUUCUUCUCAUUUUAACGACAUUCAUCCAUUGUUUUGGAAAUGACGGAUUAAUCAGUCGCUGCCUGUUUAAACGCAGGGAACACAUUUACUUCAGUUGUCCGAAAGGUCAUGUGAUCUAUCGUCCAAUGAUAUUUCUUGGUAAAGGCAACCAAUCAACUUGCAGCUAUGAAGAUGGGGACUGCAUCGGCCAAUCCCUGAGUAUGUUGAAGCAAAACAACAAAUGCUAUUGGAGAGAAUCUUGUUCUGUUGGUUGGAGAAAUGGGCAGGUAAUCCUUAAAACAGACGACAAAAGAUGUACUGGAGAGACGGCGAACUAUGUGGCCUACUCAAAUCCCCUGUGUAUUAAAGAAGAGCACCUGUUUAGUAUUUGUGACGCAAGCGAAAAGGAAAUUGACGUCAUAGAGGGCGUAAUAAGAAGUCACGCAGAAUAUCCGUGGUCGUAUGGGUCUGCAAAGCAGAAAUGCAC